rnacentral:rRNA from 1 species
UACGUAGGGUGCGAGCGUUGUCCGGAAUUAUUGGGCGUAAAGGGCUCGUAGGCGGUCUGUUGCGUCAGGAGUGAAAACUCGGGGCUUAACCCCGAGCCUGCUUCUGAUACGGGCAGACUAGAGGUAUGCAGGGGAGAACGGAAUUCCUGGUGUAGCGGUGAAAUGCGCAGAUAUCAGGAGGAACACCGGUGGCGAAGGCGGGUCUCUGGGCAAUAACUGACGCUGAGGAGCGAAAGCGUGGGGAGCGAACAGG